ACUACAAACCUAGCCCAAAAACCCAACAACCCCGCCCCAUGAAACUACACCCGAACACCCAAGACUUAAAACAUUAGACCCGUCCUAGUAUAGGAGAUAGAAGAGACAUACUGGAGCUAUAGAGAACAGUACCGCAAGGGAAAAUUGAAAAAUAUGAAACACCAUAACAGUAAACAAAGCAAAGAUAAAACCUUGUACCUUUUGCAUAAUGAUUUAACUAGCACACACCAAGCAAAGAGAACUAAAGUAUGAAACCCCGAAACCAAGUGAGCUACUUACGGGCAACCUAUUACAAAACACAAAGGUUAUUAACCGUCUCUGUGGCAAAAGAGUGGAAAGACCUGUAAGUAGAGGUGAAAAGCCUACCGAACCUGGUGAUAGCUGGUUGCUCAGAAAAAGAAUAAAAGUUCUACCUUAAAUAUCCUAAAAACAAUGUAAAGCCCACUAGUGAAAUUUAAGAGACAUUCAGUUGGGGUACAGCCCUACUGAAAAAGGACACAACCUUGUAAUGGAGGUUAUAAACCACAAAUCGCAUCCGUAGGCCUUAAAGCAGCCAUCACAAAAAUAAAGCGUUAAAGCUAGACUAAAACAAAUAGCACAAUAAAAGUUUUUACCCCAAUUAUACUGAGCUAUUCUACCCACAUAGAAGAAUUAAUGUUAAAAUGAGUAACAAGAAAUUAAACUUCUCUAAAGCAACAGCUUAAAUCAGCUCAGACAUACUACUGAUUAUUAACAGUCACGUAUAAAAUAAAUAUUAAUAAACAAAUCAUAUAGACUAGACUGUUAACCCAACACAGGAUUGCACAUUAGAAAGAUCAAAACCUGUAAAAGGAACUAGGCAAGCAGAGAGCCCGACUGUUUACCAAAAACAUAGCCCCUAGCAUAAGCAAGUAUUAGGGGUGAUGCCUGCCCAGUGACAUUGUUCAACGGCCGCGGUAUUCUGACCGUGCGAAGGUAGCGUAAUCACUUGUCUUUUAAAUAGAGACUGGAAUGAAUGACUAAACGAGGCUCUAUCUGUCUCCUACAGGCGAUCAGUGAAAUUGAUCUCCUCGUGCAAAAGCGAGAAUGGUAACAUAAGACGAGAAGACCCUGUGGAACUUUAAAUAACAGCUAAUAGCCAUAAACCCACUAAACCGAUAGGACCACUACUAUGGCCACUCUUAGCUCUAUUUUCGGUUGGGGUGACCUCGGAGNAAAACGCAACCUCCGAAGACCUAUACUAAGAACAACAAACCAAAGUGCCUCCGGCUAAACGAUCCAAUAUAUUUGAUUAAUGAACCAAGCUACCCCAGGGAUAACAGCGCAAUCCCCUCUUAGAGUCCAUAUCAACGAUGGGGGUUUACGACCUCGAUGUUGGAUCAGGACAUCCUAAUGGUGCAGCCGCUAUUAAGGGUUCGUUUGUUCAACGAUUAAUAGUCCUACGUGAUCUGAGUUCAGACCGGAGCAAUCCAGGUCGGUUUCUAUCUAUGACUGUAAAUUUUUUAGUACGAAAGGAUCAAAAAAGUGCAGCCCAUGUACUAAAACACGCUGUAUUUCAAAUUAGUGAACGAUAACUAAACUAAAUAAAAAACAACCACACCACAAUGCCCGAAACAAGGGCA
rnacentral:rRNA from 1 species